rnacentral:misc_RNA from 1 species
UGAAGCGCUAAACCCAAACGACGAACAAACGUGUUUCUGAAAGUACUUAUACACACUUGCAAAAGAAGAGGUGAAGGUGGACUUGGACUACUUAGAGUGCAAGUAGUGUGUUUUGUGUGUAACAAGCGUGCUGUACUGAUAGUGCUCGUGUGUUCUCGACUUGAUGGACUUUCGGAGAUAGAAACAACAGCCUGGACCACAACGACGACUGACACAUCAACAAUCAUAUUAUUGUCAUUGUUGAUUUGCUCAUCAUAAUCGUAUUCGUCAUUAAGUGUACCUACAACUCGUGUAGUCUUGCCCGUUACUUUUUCGUACAUUUAUUAAUUUUACCAUUAGAUUGUGUUUUUGCACGUCGCGGGUGUUUUAAUAAACAAAACAAAACAAAGAAGACAUCGUUUAAAGAACACUACGACAUAAAUAAAUAUUAUUGAACAGAGGAUAACGACGACAACAACCGGACAGCAUAUUAGGCACGAUGGACGCGGACGAGCUGGAUCAGCGGAUGAUGCAGUCGUUCCGCUGCCUCGGCGUCGCUGACAAGGUCGACCUGGUGAAGCAGCUCAAGGCGGUGGCGGGCAGCCACCUUAACGACUCCGUGGCCCUGUUUUUCCUGGAGAUGAACGACUGGAAUGUCCAAGCAGCAAUUGGUAGUUAUUUUGACUUUGAAGCGACGCGCAAGCUCCCCUGUAUGACGCUUGUUUGUGAUUCAACGAUUGGCGAGGGAGAAGACGUUCCACCACUCACAAAAUUCAGAAAAACGUGGCGUAUUCAAAAUAGUGGCACUGAAGAUUGGCCUGAGGGUGUGUGUCUUACGUUUACAAAUGGUGAACGAAUGGGAGAUUGCACAAGUGUGCCGGUACCUUGUUUACCAGCCAAAGACUCAAUAGAAAUCAGUAUUGAUUUCGUAAGUCCUCCAAGCGAAGGGCUUUACCAAAGCAAGUGGAGGAUGACCACAUCAAAUGGUUCCUUCUUUGGGGACGUCAUAUGGGUGAUAAUAACAGUGGAAAAAGGUGGUACCUUGGCACUAACUCAGCAACUUCACCUAUUAAGUACUUCACAAGCGACAGAUGAACAGAUGUGAUAGCCAUAGCUAACAAUGAUUGUUGCGCGAUAAGACGAUUCUAAAUUUUUUUAAAUACUACAGUUAUGCAGUUUCGGGAAUGGUCUUGGUUCACGAGAGAUUUGUUGUUUCAAUGGCUCCUUAUGAUUGAGAUACACAUGACAAUC